rnacentral:rRNA from 1 species
GAUGAACGCUGGCGGCGUGCCUAAUACAUGCAAGUCGAGCGAACGGGCGAGGAGCUUGCUGCUCUGAUGUUAGCGGAGGACGGGUGAAUCACACGUGUAUAACCUCCCUAUAAGACUGGGAUCACUUCGAGAAACCGUAGCUAAUCCCGGAUAAUCUUUUGAACCGCAUGGGUCAAUAGUGAAAGACGGUGUUGCUGGCACUUCUAGCGGGAUACGGGCUGCAUUAGCUAGUUGGUAAGGUAACGGCUUACCAAGGCAACGAUGCAUAGCCGACCUGUGAGGGUGGUAGGCCACACUGGAACUGAGACACGGUCCAGACGCCUGCGGGAGGCAGCAGUAGGGAAUCGUCCGCAACGGGGGAAAGCCUUACGGAGCAACGCCGCGUGAGUGACGAAGGUCCUCCGAUCGGAAAACUCUGUUAUGAGGGAAGAACAUAUUUGUAAGGAACUGUGCAGAGCUUGACGGUACCUAAUCAGAAAGCCACGGCUAACUACGUG